GACUCAUUCAGCCCCAGGUUUGAAUUUUUUCUAGUUUUCACACACACACACACCCACAAAAAGGCAUAAUACCUGUAAGAAGGAAAGCAGUCCUCUAGAAUUGAAGUGUUUGAAAAAAAGCUAUGAGCUCAAUGUUUUGGAGGAAAUCCCUUCUAUAGCAGUGGAAAGAAGGCAGCUCAUUUUGGACUUUGAAUGGUAGGACCGUAUCUGCUAUUCAGUUUUUGAAAUACAGCUGUGCCAUGUGCACUGAACCUUCACACUGGGACUCAGCUGCCAUGCUUCACCUUGGGUAUAAUGAUGACAGAGGCUGAGAAAGCCUAACAUCAUCAAUUAAAACAUCACUUCUACAAUGACAUUUCACUAGUCAGCUUAACAUCAUAAAUUAUGACAUCACCUCUUUCAUGAAACCAGAAGAUUGAAGAAAGGGGACUGACUGAGAAGCUAUUCCUACUGGAAACUAAGAUUCCUCUUUGAUUUGUGCCUUUAGAAUCUUUUUUGCUCUGAUUAUAUUGCCGAGAUGAUUACUAAAAAUAGUAAUAAUAAUAAAAACCUCACAAGAUCAUAGUGGAAGCCAUUAGAGCAAAUUGUACAUUUUCUAGCUCCCCUUAGUUAUGGUUCAACAUCCCUGGAUGGUGAUAUGAGGAUUUUAUUUCACAGCUGAACUAUG